UAGGGAAUCUUCCACAAUGGACGAAAGUCUGAUGGAGCAACGCCGCGUGAGUGAAGAAGGUUUUCGGAUCGUAAAGCUCUGUUGUUGGUGAAAAAGGAUAGAGGCAGUAACUGGUCUUUAUUUGACGGUAAUCAACCAGAAAGUCACGGCUAACUACGUGCCGG
rnacentral:rRNA from 1 species